UACGUAGGGGGCGAGCGUUGUCCGGAUUUAUUGGGCGUAAAGAGCUCGUAGGCGGUUUGGCAAGUCGGGUGUGAAAACUCCGGGCUCAACUCGGAGACGCCACUCGAUACUGCUAUGACUCGAGUCCGGUAGGGGAGUGCGGAAUUCCUGGUGUAGCGGUGAAAUGCGCGGAUAUCAGGAGGAACACCGGUGGCGAAGGCGGCACUCUGGGCCGGAACUGACGCUGAGGAGCGAAAGCGUGGGGAGCAAACAGG
rnacentral:rRNA from 1 species